AAAUUGAAGAGUUUGAUCAUGGCUCAGAUUGAACGCUGGCGGCAGGCCUAACACAUGCAAGUCGAACGGUAACAGGAAGCAGCUUGCUGCUUCGCUGACGAGUGGCGGACGGGUGAGUAAUGUCUGGGAAACUGCCUGAUGGAGGGGGAUAACUACUGGAAACGGUAGCUAAUACCGCAUAACGUCGCAAG
rnacentral:rRNA from 1 species